rnacentral:rRNA from 1 species
UGGGGAAUAUUGGACAAUGGGCGAAAGCCUGAUCCAGCCAUGCCGCGUGUGUGAAGAAGGUCUUCGGAUUGUAAACCACUUUAAGUUGGGAGGAAGGGCAGUAAGCGAAUACCUUGCUGUUUUGACGUUACCGACAGAAUAAGCACCGGCUAACUCUGUGCCAGCAGCCGCGGUAAUACAGAGGGUGCAAGCGUUAAUCGGAUUUACUGGGCGUAAAGCGUGCGUAGGCGGCUAAUUGAGUCGGAUGUGAAAUCCCCGAGCUUAACUAGGGAAUUGCAUUCGAUACUGGUUAGCUGGAGUGUGGGAGAGGAUGGUAGAAUUCCAGGUGUAGCGGUGAAAUGCGUAGAGAUCUGGAGGAAUACCGAUGGCGAAGGCAGCCAUCUGGCCUAACACUGACGCUGAGGUACGAAAGCAUGGGGAGCAAACAGG